UUCCCUGAAGAUGACAUUGUGAUUGCACUUGCAGGAGCCAGACUCCCUUCCCUCAUGGCACCUCCUUCAAGUAAAAUUUGUCCAACCGUACCUUUGAAAUGAUAUUGCUGGAAGCAUACCAUACUGGCCAUUUUCCAGUGGGCCUUUCCGUGGUGCACAACUUCACUGACAACUCCUUGUUUGAAGUGGGAAACGUGGUGAGGAAGAAUUAAAAAGAUUUUAAGACUACCUGACAGGAUCGCUUCAUAACAACAAACGGAGCUGUGCAAAAGAAUAUGAUGAAAGACAAGGACAAUGAGUCAGGGCUGCCUUCUGAAUAACAUGGAGCUCACAGUAAUGGCAAAGUCUUCUCUGAGCAUUAAGUGGUAAUCUGGCAGCAUUGUGAGACUGCUUCCACCAUCUUUAUGGCGACGGCUGCCACUACCUGGCCUAGCAGCGUUACCAGUUCUCUUGCCAAGUACUGGGCUCCAGCAAGGCCUCUAUCACUCCUGCUUUUGUGGAGCAAAGACACAGUUGAUAGAUGUGUCAGCAGGACACACAGGUGCCUGCUGAGAUGAUUUGCUGCUGCAUGAUAACCUCGCCACGGGUGAGCCAGAAGCCCUUGCAAGGUGCAGAGCUGCAGGUAGGACAAUACAAUUGGCCAUACACUUAGUAUGGAGGAGAGGUGCCUGGGGAAUCGAUACACAAGGACUUCUGGGCAGUACAAAUGGGCUUCUUGGUUGGCCAAUGAACUGGAAGAAGCAAGACUGAAGGAUUAGUAACAAGAAGGUCUGAGAUAGAGCUACAUAAAAGGUCCUAUGGAAAUGGGGACAAAUGAGUCAGCUUUGAUAGCUUUGGAGAUCAAAGGAGAACAUCUUUUCAUAAGAUCAGGAAACUAUGAGUCCUGAAACCCAAAUGUUACCUGAUAAGUUUUCGUCAUCACAUCUCAUUCAAAGAGGUGCUGUUGGAAGCAGUUCAUUUUCUGCAAGAAAUAUUUUUCCAGUGCUUAUCUGUGCCAGGCACUGAGCCAGGCCCAAGGUUUAUAGCAAGGAAUGUAACCCAGUCCUCGUGCUCAAGAAACAUAGUCUGAUGAGGAAGGAUAGACAUAUCUAAAGCAACAUCUAAAGGCAAGAAGGUAUAACUGUGGUAGGCAAUCUACUCUCCUAAAAUUAAUCUGCACAAAAAAUAUGGGACCAUCUAUGGGAUAUGAACAAAAGAAACCCACUCGGGCUCAUUGCUGUCUUGUCUAAA